GCUGGGUAUGGUGGUGCACGCCUGUAAUCCCAGCUGCUUUGGAGGGUGAGACAGGAGGAUCUUGAGUUCAAAGCCAGCCUCAGCAAAAGUGAGGCGCUAAGCAGCUCAGUGAGACUCUGUCUCUA
rnacentral:sRNA from 1 species